rnacentral:rRNA from 1 species
CGCGGCCUAUCAGCUUGUUGGUGAGGUAAUGGCUUACCAAGGCGACGACGGGUAGCCGGCCUGAGAGGGUGACCGGCCACACUGGGACUGAGACACGGCCCAGACUCCUACGGGAGGCAGCAGUGGGGAAUAUUGCACAAUGGGCGAAAGCCUGAUGCAGCGACGCCGCGUGAGGGAUGACGGCCUUCGGGUUGUAAACCUCUUUCAGUAGGGAAGAAGCGAAAGUGACGGUACCUGCAGAAGAAGCGCCGGCUAACUACGUGCCAGCAGCCGCGGUAAUACGUAGGGUGCGAGCGUUGUCCGGAAUUAUUGGGCGUAAAGAGCUCGUAGGCGGUCUGUUGCGUCGACUGUGAAAACUCGGGGCUCAACUCCGGAUCUGCGGUGGGUACGGGCAGACUAGAGUGAUGUAGGGGAGACUGGAAUUCCUGGUGUAGCGGUGAAAUGCGCAGAUAUCAGGAGGAACACCGGUGGCGAAGGCGGGUCUCUGGGCCGAUACUGACGCUGAGGAGCGAAAGCGUGGGGAGCGAACAGGAUUAGAUACCCUGGUAGUCCAUGCCGUAAACGUUGGGCACUAGGUGUGGGGGACAUUCCACGUUUUCCGCGCCGUAGCUAACGCAUUAAGUGCCCCGCCUGGGGAGUACGG